rnacentral:snRNA from 1 species
AGAUGUGAAGAUGACCUGGUGGCAGCCUGUUUCCCCACUGAUAACCAGGCUUUAUUCAGUUGUACUGACUGUCCAGAGUAGGCUGCUCCUUUCUCCUUUACCAUUUCAGGAAAGUCCCUCCUGAAAUUUCAUUCCCAGCAGAAAAGGGUGACCUCCUCAGAAGAAGGUGGCUUUGCUCUUUUAAAGUGGGAGAACCAU